rnacentral:lncRNA from 1 species
AAUUGACGUGACAGUGGAAAAAGGAGAGAAGGAAAGGUAAGAAAAUUUAGGAAUGAAUAUGAAUUGUUGACUUACCCAAAUGAAAUUCUUACGCAACUCCUCCUAAAUUGAAAAAGCAUAAUAAUCCAAUUGAAAACCAUUAUACCCCUAAGUCGUGACCAUCAACACCCAGCAACGAUCGCUCCGAUCUCGUCGAUUUCUGGCCAAUCCACAUGAGCUCAUCCACGACUCAUUAGUGUGUUCAAGCUAUCUCCGACCAGACACUACAGAGGCCAUUACACAUAGCAAAGAAGAGUGAAGCUCCACUUUUCCCAAAUCUGAGAAACCUGUUCCAUUCGAAGAUGCGUGAAGCUCUAGGGCCUAACCCAUAUCCCUGAAGGUAUCAUCACUUCUGUGGCUUGACAUACAUGUAAUUUUGUUUAGUAAACUGAAAUUGGCAAAAUGAAUUUUCAUGAAGGUGAUGCUGUAUAUCUGUACUUAUGUUUAAUGAAUUUAAACUAACAACAACUUGCAAAAUUUGCUUUUUCAUGAAUGUAAUGGAAAUCAUGAACAUAGUGGAAGGAAAAACGUAUGAUGAUGUACAUCGGGGGGGUCGGAUAAUGAGAACGUUACGGAAACCGUGAACCUAUGGGGAGAUGGUGUAAUUGUGCAUGAGUUGGGCAUGCUGUUCAAAGACGAGAAAGAGAUAUUUCAAUUGCACAAAAAGUAUACUCCAAUGAAGAAAAGGAGUUCAAAAAAGGGGGAUGAUGGAGUUUUGAGGUAUGUGACUUUGACAUGUAGUCGCAAAGGCCGAAGAAGCAUGAAGCAAGUCCUAAAGUGAGCCAUUUAUUGCUGGACCGAAUUGGAUGCAGUACAUAUUUGUCUAUUUUUUGUGGUUUAUGCUGGAACAAAUACUGUAUGGAUGAUGGUGCUUCAAUUUUUUUCUAUGUGAAGGACAUUUGCUUGUUACAAAAAGGUUCUCUAAGGAUUUAGUCCUAUUUUUUAAUUAGAAGGUAAUUUGUAAAUUACAUGUAGUAGACUUGCCUACAUAUUUUUGUACACUAUAUAGGAAAAUAGAGAAUGGGCACCUUCUUAGUUUACAUUUGUGUUACGAUUUCUUAGUCUUGCUUCUUGUUGGAAUAUGCUACUUUGCAUAUCUCAUCUAUCCACCUAUACAUUUUCUAGUCAAAAUGGAUCCUGUAGUUUGCAAAUGCAUUCACAAUCAACAAAAUACAAAGCUAAAUGGCUACUUAAGUGGAGAUUUAAGAUAAUAGAGAACUCAUCAUUGCAUUAGAUAUAACCAUCUAGAUUCCAACAAAAGGGUAAAAACUCAAGUUUCA